rnacentral:rRNA from 1 species
CCGCGGUAAUUCCAGCUCCAAUAGCGUAUAUUAAAGUUGUUGCAGUUAAAAAGCUCGUAGUUGAAUUUCGGGGUCAGCAGGUUGGUCGUGCCAAUGGUAUGCACUGGCCUUGGUGAUUCCUCCCUCUUGUAGAACCGUAAUGCCAUUAAGUUGGUGUUGCGGGGAAACAGGACUGUUACUUUGAAAAAAUUAGAGUGUUUAAAGCAGGCUAACGCCUGAAUACAUUAGCAUGGAAUAAUGAAAUAGGACGAUCGAUCCUAUUUUGUUGGUUUCUAGGAUUGACGUAAUGAUUAAUAGGGAUAGUUGGGGGCAUUAGUAUUCAAUUGUCAGAGGUGAAAUUCUUGGAUUUAUUGAAGACUAACUACUGCGAAAGCAUUUGCCAAGGAUGUUUUCAUUAAUCAAGAACGAAAGUUAGGGGAUCGAAGACGAUCAGAUACCGUCGUAGUCUUAACCAUAAACUAUGCCGACUAGGGAUCGGAUGAUGUUAAUUUUUU